AUUUUUGUACAUAAUGGAC
rnacentral:snRNA from 1 species